GAUGAAGACGUAGCGAAAUGCGAUACGUAAUGUGAAUUGCAGAAUUCAGUGAAUCAUCGAAUCUUUGAACGCAUAUUGCGCUCUCUGGUAUUCCGGAGAGCAUGCUUGUUUGAGUAUCAGUAAACACCUCAACUCCCCUUUCUUUUUUUGAAAUGGGAGCUGGACUUGAGUGAUCCCAACGCUUUUCUCACCGAAAAGUGGCGGGUUACUUGAAAUGCAGGUGCAGCUGGACUUUUCUCUGAGCUAAAAGCAUAUCUAUUUAGUCUGCCUAAAAAACAGAUUAUUACCUUUGCUGCAGCUAACAUAAAGGAGAUUAGUUCUUGUGCUGACUGAUGCAGGAUUCACAGAGACAGCUUCGGCUGGCCUUUGUAAACUCGAUCUCAAAUCAAGUAAGACUACCCGCUGAACUUAAGCAUAUCAAUAAGCGGAGGA
rnacentral:misc_RNA from 1 species